UUGAAGGUCUAAGUGACCAUGACUUCCAAUACUCAUGCAUUUCAUGUGGGUAUCAUCCUGCAGUUGUUGUCAUGGAUCUCCAUAAGAAAGGUGUUUUCAGCAUGUCAGUUAGUGAAAUACCAAACCCAUCUCAACACUAUAAUGGCAAAGUGAAUGCUCGCUCUUUUUGGGAAGCGGUUACUAUGGAAGUGAUUAGCCGUGGACUUUAUCCACCUGGCUGCAAGAAUCCUUUUGUAGUAAAACCUACUUAUCACAACUGAUCCCCCUGGAUUGGACCACAGACACGACGAGCUGACAUUUUGAUAAACACAGAGAGUAAAAAGUCCAUUUGCCUCAUUCCAACAGUGAUGUAGACCAGUUUCUCACAGAAGAACGGCUUGCAGAUGAGGUUCUCAAU